AGUUCGGCUGCAUGAUAGCAUACAAGAAGAGGGUUAUCACUACUUAAUAUUUGAUUUAGUUACUGGUGGAGAACUGUUUGAAGACAUUGUAGCCAGAGAAUAUUAUAGUGAAGCUGAUGCGAGGGAAGAGAAAAAGGGAAUUAGGCUUUGAUUAACUUAAGAUUAAGUAGCACUACAACUUGCCCUUUGCUUUAUUUUUCUGAUUUGAUAUGGCUUAUUAUUUUGUUCAGCCUAUUGUUAUUACUGUUAAUUGUUUAUCAGAAUUCAAGUUUUAGUAAAAGAAAACAUCUCUAGUUUAUUCUUUUCUCAAAACUAUGUAUCCAUCAAUCAUCCAUUCAGUAUCAGAAUUUUGUGCAUGCUGAAAUACAGGUGGGAAGUAGUCUUUUAAAAAUUAGUGCAGCAGUAAGACCAUCCUAGAAUUCCUGAAAUAUUUUAAUAUAAAAUCUGCUGUGUGGAGCAUUGCAAGAUCAUGAGAGGACAGAUGUACAGUUUUAAAAAUGCUUGCACAUACAUCAAAGUAUUAAAAGAAAAAGUAUUAACACAUAAAAUGAAAUUGUUUAGACAAUUUAAGUUGAAAAAGAAAUUUUAAUGAACAAAACAAAUUUUA